GUGUGAAUACCAACGAGAACUGAAGAAUCAAAGGAAGUCGGAGAUUCCUAGUUAUUUCCUUCGUGGGUUUUUCUGUCGAAGAAGAAGGAGAAGAAAAAAGAAUCUUUAUGUUUUUAUUUUUUCAGCUGCUACUCUCUGUUCAUCAUCUUCGUUGAUAGUAUCUGGAAGAAAGAGCCGUUUGGGUUAAAAGAUAAUGGGUUUAUGGACUUUUCUGGAAGGUAUUCUGCUUUUCGCAAAUGCAUUAGCCAUACUGAAUGAAGAUAGGUUCCUCGCUCCAAGGGGAUGGACACUGGCAGAACUCCAAGGAAGCACAAGAAAUUCACUCAAGGGGCAGAUUAUUGGGCUCGUACAUGCUUGCCAGUUUAUGAGACUACCGCUUAUACUUCUAAACAUCAUCGUUAUCAUAGUGAAGCUGUUCUCUGGUUGAGGUUGAGGAUGAAAAUAGUUCAUAGCUUGGCAAGUGUUUAGUGUUUGUACAGCGAAGUAUGACGAUCUCGUUCUUUCCCACUCAAGGGUUGUGCUGUGCACACCAAAGUCCCAGAGUUUUUUCUUUCUUUUUUCUUCUGUACAACAGAACAGUAGCUGUUUCUCUAGUAACUUACCUGUCACCUCUUCUUUUGUAUCUUUCAUCCCUGGCUGUUUUUGUCCAUCUACUCGUUAACCUCAAUGAAAUUACUAAACUAGAGUGUUACAUUUAAGAUCA